ACAUGCCCACAACAAAACAUUAAUGCACCGGAUCCCAUUAGAAUUAUGCAAUUAAGCGCGCUCAAGCUAGAGUAGAACUGGGAUGGUGAUCACCCAAGAAGUCCUAGUGUUUUACAUGCC
rnacentral:rRNA from 1 species